AUACGGAGGCGUUUGCGUCCACGAAGAGUCUGUAGUAGCCAGCAAUGAGGCAGACGAGGUCCUUUGCACUGUUUGACUCCAGCAGCAGACAAACCUUUCCUGGAGCACGUCGCUGCAGCUCUGGGGCAAACACAGCACAGUUAGGCCAGCAGGAGCGCAGCACCAAACUGCCCACACGACACCACGCAGCCAGGAGGUCCAAGGGGUCCCUGGGGACAAAGCACACUCUGAAGAGGCAGCGGUAGUCAUGAGAGUCUCUCUUCUGGACCACCUGC